ACAUUCACAUAUGGUACAUUUUAUACCCCACAACCAUCAUUGUUGUCGCUGCAAAGCUCUUGACACCGCCGUCCCCUCACCGCCGCACCAGGUUCUCCUCCAACCCUAUUAGUAACGCCGUUUUGCACCCCCUCACCGGCGUUUAGCUCUCCCGCAACGGUCAUCGUCGUCACCGCAAAGCUCUUGACGUUGUUGCCUCCCUCACCACCGCACCAGAUUCUCUUCCAACCCUGUUAGUGGCGCCGUUUUUGCACCCUUCACCCGCUUAUCCAUGUCAAAGUGGUUCUUGUUAAUGGCGGCCAUUAUGAACUUGUCGCACUCAGGCUCCAUCCAUGUCGUCACGAACGACGCCAGAUUCAGCCUGAGGUUUGCGUCUAGCAUGAGCUCAUUAUUUAUUAUUUGGUACGCUGCCUCCUUGAGUUAUUUUAGUAGAUAUGUGGAUGAUUAUUUUUAAUUUUUUAGCCGGAUGAUUAUUUGAGUAGGUAUGCGAAUAGUUAUUUUAAUUCUUAUGUGGAUGAUUAUUUGGUUGGAAUGGAUCUAGUUAGAUACAAUAAAGAUAUGUUGGAUGUUCAAUUUACUAAGUACGAGGAUGAUUAAAUUUUUGAAUUACUGAAUGGGAUUUUUUGGUUGUGUAAUUUUGGUGAAAUAUUUUCUUAAAAUUUUUUUGGGCCAAAUUUUCAACCCAUUGUUCACGUUGUUCAGAUUCUUCGUUGUCUACCUAGCGGAGUUGACUAUUAUAUAGCCACAAUCAUCUAUAUAAUGGAAAGCAUUUCAGAUACAACCUUAAAAUAUUAUUGAGAUGAGAGAGGGUGAAAGUGGGGUAGAGGGAGUGGCGGUCGGGAUGUCAAAACGGUAGAGCAUGAUGAGCGGAAAAAGGCAUCAAAUGUGGGUCAGGAGGGCGUAAGGGCCAAUGGGAAAGCUGAAGUAGGCGGAGGAGGGCAGAGAGAUGGGAAACCUAGCAUGCAUGAUACCUAUGUCUCUAAAGAUUUUAUUAGAGACAAAGUGGUGGGUGAGGUGGCACCGAAGCCAUUGAUCAUGAAUGACGUGUUGGAUGGGGAUAGAUCGGUUGUGGUCAUCGAGAGGCAAGGAUGCAUCCAAACCGAAGUUAGUGUUUUCUGAAGAGGGAAGGAAGGUGCUUGCGGAGCCUUGCAAAGACACUAUAGUGGUUAGCUUGCUCAGUAAGAACCUUAAUUAUACGGUCUUGUCUCAUAGAUUAAGGUUCAUCUAGAGGUUCAAUGGUGGUGAUGAAUUCUUGGAUGUGGGAAUGAAUAUUUCUUUGUCAAAUGUGACCGAAGAGAGGAUCGAGAAAAGGUUCUAGUUGGGGGACCAUGGAUGAUAGAUGGAUUCUAUUUGGUAGUCAAACCUUGGUCUUUUGAUUUUUGUCCGACAGAAGAAUUUUUUGGAUGUACUCUUGUUUGGAUUUGCUUGACGGGCUUGAAGAUUCUAUAUUACUAGGAAAAGGCCAUGCGGUGGAUUGCGAUGAUGAUUGGUACUCCGAUCAAAGUCGAUGUCGCAACCAAGGAAAUGGAAAGGAGAAAAUUUGCACAUACAUGUGUACAUAUAGACUUGGGUGUACUAAUUAUUGAUGAGAUGAUGUGGUCUAUAAGGUGGAGUAUGAGCAUUUAGAACUUAUUUGUGAUACAUGCAAGUGUUAUAGACACGUCGCGGCUAACUGCAAGUCGAAGUUAAAAAAUAAGACGGUGAAAACGGGAGCGGAUAAGCCACCGGAGAAGCAUUUUCCGAGGACUACAAAUUCCAACGAUGGAAAAAUACAGUGAGACGUUAUUUUUGAAAGUGAUUUGCCUGUUACCGAAGAACAUGGAAAGGAGGAUUCUUCGCAUGAUUUGUUGCAUGGAAAGGGAGGCAAAGAUCAUACCAAUAGUCACAUAGAAGUUGAAGAAGAGCAGACCAGGGUUAUUAAUAAAAAAAAAGACUGUAAAGGACCAUGUCAAUAUAGUGCCUGGGCCCAAUGUUAUGAAGCCCAAUUCUAAAAAACUUGUUUUUGUGGUAAAUACGGGUAGAAAGACAAAAAGCUUUAGGUUCUCUAAAGCUCCUAAGUCUAGGAGUGUUAAAAAAUAUGUUAAUGUGAAUACUAUUCAUCCUUCUUCAUACAGUGGCAUUAAAGCAGGGCCAAGUGGGACUAAGCAUGAGACCCCUUCUCAAAGCAUGGUCAAGAAGCGUCUCAGACAAGUUUCCUUUCAAAGUUCACUGCAAGAUUACAGAAUCUUGGAACAUGAAAAGAAGAAAGAGAAAUGAGAGCAAAGUGUUAAUGUUAAAAAGGUAAAGAAAAAUGAGGUGGUCGAAUAGAGGGUUCAGGAUCUCUGAACCAGGGGCAAGCAACAAGGAGGGGCUUAUCUCCUGUGAAGUGGGAAAAAGGUUGUGACACUGAAGAAAUAUGAUGGCCUUGGAAUGAGAGAUUCGCAACGUGUGAAUAUUGCUCUUUUAGGAAAGUUUAUUUGGAAAAUGCUUCACUGCCAUGACAAGUUCUAGGUCCAGGCUAUAUACAACAAGUAUCUCUCUAAUGGCUGAGGUUGGGAGGCUACGUGUGGAGCUUCUCAUGUGUGAAAAAGCAUAGUUAAAGCCUUUAAAUACUUGAAAGAUGGUUUUGAGUAGAGUUGCGGUAAUAGACAUCAAUCCAUGUAGUUUGAUUCUUGGUCCUCUUUCGGGAAGCUCUAUGAUAUCAUUCCGUAUAUUCAUAUUACUGACAUUAAUCUAUCAGUUAAUCAUGUAAUUCAUAAUGGAACUUAGAACGUUGAUAAACUUUAUUCUCCUCUGUCUGAUCAUGUUAGGUUGUCUCUUGCAAGCUUGCCUAUUCCAAGAUUAAAUUCGAGUGGAACAAGAUAGUUUUGGAACCUUUCCGCUUCGAUUGCUUAUAGCACCAAAAGUGGAUAUUAAUGGCUUACUAAAAGGAAAUUUCAUUGGGAUGAAACCCAAAAUUGGAAUUGGUUAUGAAAAACGUUUAUUCUGGAGAAGAUAAGGUUGUUGUUAUGGAUGGCCCUCCAUGAUGCAGUUCCCACAAAUAAGUUUCGGUGCUUCAGAAGUUUAGCUUCCAAUAAUUCUUGCUCCCGAUGCGGGAUCUCUCCUGAGACAAUUUCUCAUUACCUUCGUGACUGUGAUAAAGCUAAGGAUGUUUGGUAUAUUCUUGAUUGAUCUGUUCUUGUGAAUAAUGCUUCGUUAGAUUUGGUUGCUUGGAUUAAGAAAAUUAUUAACGGUAGGAAAGGCCUAGUUGCGGCAGGGGUUUGGUGGAUUUGGAGGUAUAGAUGUCAAGAGAUUUUUAAUCCCAGUGAACCUUGGUCAAGUAUGAAGGUUGCUAUGUUAGCCGGGAGCUUGAAUAAAGAGUUGAGUUCUUGUAGAAACAACCAUUACCUAGCCUUUAGUGAUGAGUGGACUUAUAUUUGGACAAUUCUUCCCAAUAAUUUCUUCAAAGUUAAUUGUGAUACAAGCAUAAUCAAGGAUGAUCAGCUGGCGGGUUUUGGGUGUGUCUUGCGAGAUGAUAGAGGAAAAUGGAUUCUCGGUUGUUCAGGCUCACUUUUUCCUUGGCCAGUGUAUCAUUGUGAAUUAAUGGCAGCUUGGCAUGGCUUAAUUUUAGCUUGGGAAGCUAGUUGUAAGAAUGUAAUUUGUGAAUGAACUCCUUUUAACCCUUCCUGGUCCUAAAAAAUAUUUUCAGUCAUAGCACAGUGAUAAAUCGAGACAUUGUGGUUAUACUCCAUGAUCUCUUGUUAGAAAACUGAGAGGUUCAGUUUCAACUUAUUUAAAUACGAAACAAAUUGUAUGACAGAUUAUAUGGCUAAAAUUACUGCUAAACGCAAUACGACUCAUGUUUGAAUAGAGUCUGAGGAUGCGUUGAAAAAGAUUUUGCAGAAAGAUAUAAUUUUUGUUAAUUAAUAUUUGAGUUCUUUAAAUUUGUGUUCUUUUU